rnacentral:rRNA from 2 species
UUGACCUCGGAUCAGGUAGGAAUACCCGCUGAACUUAAGCAUAUCAAAUAAGCGGAGGA